AUGAAAACCUGCAUGGCGAGUAUGAUGAUAAUUGCGAGCCUUUCCAACAAGAUUAUAAGAUUUGGAACCACAAAACCCCUCAGGUUACAGUCACUUACUCAAGAAGCAUACUGGUACUUCCUCAAGGUGCAUGCUUUUGGGAGCACGAGAGCGGAGGACCACCCAAAGCUCGCAUCAAUUGCAAUGGACAUGGCCAGGCUGAUGAAUGGGUGCUUCAUGGGUGCAAGCAUCUUGAGUGAACUACUGAAAGCAAUUCUUAACCUUCAUUUCUGGAGUAGGGCCCUUGCAGCCCUGAAGAAUUCAAAGCAGACGAACAUCUCAGUCUCUCAAGAUGACAAGAUGAGCAUGCAAGAUCUUCUCGUUGGAAGUGUUAGCCCUAGAGGGAAAUUCAACGUCCAUCUAUGGACAUCUCGUCUGCCUCCUCACUACAACUACUCCGUUCAAUAUUUUACUGUGAUUCUGUGUUGUACUUCCAGCAGUCCACAUUCGAGCCCGCCUUCCUUUUGCAUGAAUUUAGUAAUAAAGAAGCCUGAAGGAAUUGUUAUGGAGUACGCCUCCAAGGGUGUUAUCUCGGUCAUCUACAAUUUGGGCGUCUUACUUCUCGAGAUUUUAAGCGGGAAGAGGAAUGCAAGCUUCUUGAAUCUCACAGGAAACUGCCUACUACAAUGCCCGGAUAUCGAGCAUCCGGGAGUCAGUUAG
rnacentral:rRNA from 1 species